CACGUAGGGUGCAAGCGUUGUCCGGAAUUAUUGGGCGUAAAGGGCUCGUAGGCGGUCCGUCACGUCGGGAGUGAAAACUCGGGGCUCAACCCCGAGCCUGCUUUCGAUACGGGCGGACUAGAGGUAGGUAGGGGAGAACGGAAUUCCUGGUGUAGCGGUGGAAUGCGCAGAUAUCAGGAGGAACACCAAUGGCGAAGGCAGCUCGCUGGGACGGUACUGACGCUGAGACGCGAAAGCGUGGGGAGCAAACAGG
rnacentral:rRNA from 1 species